GGCACAUGCCUGUGGUCCCAGCUACUUGGGUGGCUGAGGCACAAGAAUUGCUUGAACCUGGGAGGUAGAGGUUACAGUGAGCCAAGAUCACACGACUGCACUCCAGCUUGGGUGACAGAGCAAGACUCCAUUUCAAAAAAAAAGGAAAAAGAAAGAAAGGAGAAACUCGAGGCGCUACAACCUCUGAAAUAACAGAAGUGUAGAAUUUGGGUUCCACAGACACCCUGGCUUUUUCCCGGAGUGCACUUGCCAAUCUGCUGCUGUGGAAGGGAAAUAGAGCCCAGACGGAAGGAGAGUCGCUAGACUGAGAAGACGGAGGUUGGAGUUUGGGGCUGCCAGAAUGUCUGGAAGAUGAGAGUUAAAAUCCUGGAAUGGAUGGGACCACAGAAAAGGGAGUUCCCAACCUGUGAACAAAUCUCCCUCAAGUCAUUGGCAAGCUCUACAUGCACAGGGUGAGAGUCCAAGAAACUUGGAAGAGAAAAAUAGCAACUGGGAAGCUACAAAAGCGAACAAGGCUUCCAGCAGACAUGUGAUGCUGGGGACACAGGUUGCCAAGCUGAAGAGGCCUUGGCCGGGCUGUCACCUAUUCCCGAAGCCGUUACCUCGAAUGCAUUUCCUGUGGCUCAUCAGACAUGAGCUGUGAGA
rnacentral:sRNA from 1 species